rnacentral:rRNA from 1 species
UACGGAGGGUGCAAACGUUGCUCGGAAUCAUUGGGCGUAAAGCGCACGUAGGCGGACUGUUAAGUCGAUGUGAAUACCUCAGCUUAACUGAGGAAGUGCACUCGAAACUGGCAGUCUUGAGUAUGGAAGAGGGUCGCGGAAUUCCCGGUGUAGAGGUGAAAUUCGUAGAUAUCGGGAGGAACACCAGUGGCGAAGGCGGCGACCUGGGCCAAUACUGACGCUGAGGUGCGAAAGCGUGGGGAGCAAACAGGG